rnacentral:rRNA from 1 species
AGAAGCAAAACAAGUGAUGUGGAGGCAAAAACUCAAAAANACGGUCUCAGUUCGGACUGAAGGCUGAAAUUCGCCUUCACGAAGUCGGAAUUGCUAGUAAUGGCAGGUCAGCAUACUGCCGUGAAUACGUUCCCGGGCCUUGUACACACCGCCCGUCACACCAUGAGAGUUAGGAAUACCCGAAGCCUGUGAGCUAACUUUUAGAGGCAGCAGUCGAAGGUAGAACUAAUGAUUGGGGUGAAGUCGUAACAAGGUACC